rnacentral:rRNA from 1 species
UACGAAGGGGGCAAGCGUUGUUCGGAAUUACUGGGCGUAAAGAGCGCGCAGGCGGUCGUUCAAGUCGCGUGUGAAAGCCCCCGGCUCAACUGGGGAGGGUCACGCGAUACUGAUCGACUCGAAGGCAGGAGAGGGAAGUGGAAUUCCCGGUGUAGUGGUGAAAUGCGUAGAUAUCUGGAGGAACACCGGUGGCGAAGGCGGCAUCCUGGACCGGUAUUGACGCUGAUGCGCGAAAGCCAGGGGAGCAAACGGG